rnacentral:rRNA from 1 species
GACGAACGCUGGCGGCGUGCCUAAUACAUGCAAGUAGAACGCAGUCGGGAACGGGAGAGUAAGGCAUAGGUCACUGCCUGGUAGCGGGGGAUAACUAUUGGAAACGAUAGCUAAUACCGCCUCCUACCAGAUGGACCUGCGUUGUAUUAGCUAGUUGGUGGGGUAACGGCUCACCAAGGCAACGAUACAUGGCCGACCUGGGAGGGUGAUCGGCCACACUGGGACCGAGACAACGCCCAGACUCCCAACGGAGGCAGCAGGAGGGAAAUUUCGGCAAAUGGGGGAAACCUGACCGCGCAACGCCGCGGGAGUGGAGAAGGUUCUCGGAUCGUAAAGCUCUGUUUUUAGGGGAGCGGUACUUAAACAGAAAGGGACGGCUAACUACGUGCCAGCAGCCGCGGUAAUAC